GAUGAACGCUGGCGGCGUGCCUAAUACGUGCAAGUCGAGCGAACAGACGAGGAGCUUGCUCCUCUGACGUUAGCGGCGGACGGGUGAGUAACACAUGGAUAACCUACCUAUAAGACUGGGAUAACUUCGGGAAACCGGAGCUAAUACCGGAUAAUAUAUUGAACCGCAUGGUUCAAUAGUGAAAGACGGUUUUGCUGUCACUUAUAGAUGGAUCCGCGCCGCAUUAGCUAGUUGGUAAGGUAACGGCUUACCAAGGCAACGAUGCGUAGCCGACCUGAGAGGGUGAUCGGCCACACUGGAACUGAGACACGGUCCAGACUCCUACGGGAGGCAGCAGUAGGGAAUAUUCCGCAAUGGGCGAAAGCCUGACGGAGCAACGCCGCGUGAGUGAUGAAGGUCUUCGGAUCGUAAAACUCUGUUAUUAGGGAAGAACAAAUGUGUAAGUAACUAUGCACGUCUUGACGGUACCUAAUCAGAAAGCCACGGCUAACUACGUG
rnacentral:rRNA from 1 species